rnacentral:rRNA from 1 species
UACGUAGGGUGCAAGCGUUAAUCGGAAUAACUGGGCGUAAAGGGUGCGCAGGCGGAUUUGCAAGACAGAUGUGAAAGCCCUGGGCUUAACCUGGGAACUGCAUUUGUGACUGCAAGUCUAGAGUAUGGCAGAGGGAGGUGGAAUUCCAUGUGUAGCAGUGAAAUGCGUAGAGAUGCGGAGGAACACCGAUGGCGAAGGCAGCCCCCUGGGCUAACACUGACGCUCAGGCACGAAAGCGUGGGGAGCAAACAGG